GAUGAACGCUGGCGGCGUGCCUAAUACAUGCAAGUCGAGCGAACAGACGAGGAGCUUGCUCAUCUGACGUUAGCGGCGGACGGGUGAGUAACACGUGGAUAACCUUCCUAUAAGACUGGGAUAACUUCGGGAAACCGGAGCUAAUACCGGAUAAUAUAUUGAACCGCAUGGUUCAAUAGUGAAAGAUGGUUUUGCUGUCACUUAUAGAUGGAUUCGCGCCGCAUUAGCUAGUUGGUAAGGUAACGGCUUACCAAGGCAACGAUGCGUAGCCGAGCUGAGAGGGUGAUCGACCACACGGGAACUGAGGCAGGGUCCAGACUCCUACGGGAGGCAGCAGUAGGGAAUCUUCCGCGAUGGGCGAAAGCCUGACGGAGCAACGCCGCGUGAGUGAUGAAGGUCUUCGGCUCGUAAAGCUCUGUUAUUAUGGAAGAACAAAUGUGUAAGUAACUAUGCACGUCUUGACGGUACCUAAUCAGAAAGCCACGGCUAACUACGUG
rnacentral:rRNA from 1 species